AUCCUACUGACGAGUCCCAAAUAGGACGAAACGCGCACCACACUGGAU
rnacentral:hammerhead_ribozyme from 1 species